CGUGUAGCAGUGAAAUGCGUAGAGAUGUGGAGGAACACCGAUGGCGAAGGCAGCCCCCUGGGAUGACACUGACGCUCAUGUACGAAAGCGUGGGUAGCAAACAGGAUUAGAUACCCUGGUAGUCCACGCCCUAAACGAUGAACACUAGUCGUCGUGAUGCUUGUCAUUGCGGUGAUGCACUUAACAGAUUAAGUGUUCCGCCUGGGGAGUACGGUCGCAAGAUUAAAACUCAAAGGAAUAGACGGGGACCCGCACAAGUGGUGGAGCAUGUGGUUUAAUUCGAAGAUACGCGAAAAACCUUACCUGGCCUUGACAUUGAUAGAAUCUGCUAGAGAUAGCGGAGUGCCCUUCGGGGAGCUUGAAAACAGGUGCUGCACGGCUGUCGUCAGCUCGUGUCGUGAGAUGUUGGGUUAAGUCCCGCAACGAGCGCAACCCUCGUCCUUAGUUGCCAGCAGGUUAAGCUGGGCACUCUAGGGAGACUGCCUUCGUAAGGAGGAGGAAGGUGAGGACGACGUCAAGUCAUCAUGGCCCUUACGGCCAGGGCUACACACGUGCUACAAUGGGGCGUACAGAGUGUUGCAAUACCGCGAGGUGGAGCCAAUCACUUAAAGCGUCUCUCAGUUCGGAUUGUUCUCUGCAACUCGAGAGCAUGAAGUCGGAAUCGCUAGUAAUCGCGGAUCAGCAUGUCGCGGUGAAUACGUUCCCGGGUCUUGUACACACCGCCCGUCACACCAUGGGAGUGGAAUCUGGCAGAAGUAGGUAGCCUAACCGCAAGGAGGGCGCUACCACGCU
rnacentral:rRNA from 1 species